rnacentral:rRNA from 1 species
CUUGCUUUCUCGAGCGAGUGGCGAACGGGUGAGUAACGCGUGAGGAACCUGCCUCAAAGAGGGGGACAACAGUUGGAAACGACUGCUAAUACCGCAUAAGCCCACGGUGCCGCAUGGCACAGAGGGAAAAGGAGCAAUCCGCUUUGAGAUGGCCUCGCGUCCGAUUAGCUAGUUGGUGAGGUAAUGGCCCACCAAGGCGACGAUCGGUAGCCGGACUGAGAGGUUGAACGGCCACAUUGGGACUGAGACACGGCCCAGACUCCUACGGGAGGCAGCAGUGGGGAAUAUUGCACAAUGGGGGAAACCCUGAUGCAGCGACGCCGCGUGGAGGAAGAAGGUCUUCGGAUUGUAAACUCCUGUUGUUGGGGAAGAUAAUGACGGUACCCAACAAGGAAGUGACGGCUAACUACGUGCCAGCAGCCGCGGUAAAACGUAGGUCACAAGCGUUGUCCGGAAUUACUGGGUGUAAAGGGAGCGCAGGCGGGAAGACAAGUUGGAAGUGAAAUCUAUGGGCUCAACCCAUAAACUGCUUUCAAAACUGUUUUUCUUGAGUAGUGCAGAGGUAGGCGGAAUUCCCGGUGUAGCGGUGGAAUGCGUAGAUAUCGGGAGGAACACCAGUGGCGAAGGCGGCCUACUGGGCACCAACUGACGCUGAGGCUCGAAAGUGUGGGUAGCAAACAGGAUUAGAUACCCUGGUAGUCCACACCGUAAACGAUGAUUACUAGGUGUUGGAGGAUUGACCCCUUCAGUGCCGCAGUUAACACAAUAAGUAAUCCACCUGGGGAGUACGACCGCAAGGUUGAAACUCAAAGGAAUUGACGGGGGCCCGCACAAGCAGUGGAAGUAUGUGGGUUUAAUUCGACGCAACGCGAAGAACCUUACCAAGUCUUGACAUCCCUUGACAGGCAUAGAAAAUAUGUUUUCUCUUCGGAGCAAGGAGACAGGUGGUGCAUGGUUGUCGUCAGCUCGUGUCGUGAGAUGUUGGGUUAAGUCCCGCAACGAGCGCAACCCU